rnacentral:rRNA from 1 species
UACGAAGGGGGCUAGCGUUGCUCGGAAUCACUGGGCGUAAAGGGUGCGUAGGCGGGUCUUUAAGUCAGGGGUGAAAUCCUGGAGCUCAACUCCAGAACUGCCUUUGAUACUGGCGAUCUCGAGUCCGGGAGAGGUGAGUGGAACUGCGAGUGUAGAGGUGAAAUUCGUAGAUAUUCGCAAGAACACCAGUGGCGAAGGCGGACUCACUGGCCCGGUACUGACGCUGAGGUGCGAAAGCGUGGGGAGCAAACAGGG